rnacentral:lncRNA from 1 species
GGAGAAAUACCCGUGGUGUAUGCUAAUACGCAUACUCGUCUGAGCGAAGCGUUCUUGGAAGCCUGCAAGGAAAAUGGCUACCCCAUCAUUGACUACAACGGAAGAUCACAGGCGGGGUGCUCCAGACUGCAAGCCAAUAUGCUCCACGGCGAGCGCUGCAGCGCUAGCAAAUGUUUCAUCACUCCUAUACUACAUAGGAAAAAUUUGCACAUUUCUCUACACAGCCAUGCUACAAAGGUGCUUUUUGAUCGAAAACGUGCCACCGGAAUACGUUUUGUCAAUCACGGU